rnacentral:lncRNA from 1 species
CAUUAUAAGCUCAACAUCUGUCCAUGCUAAGUAUCAAAAAAAUCAGAUUUUUGAAUUUUGGAGUAUCUUGGAAACAGAAGUUAAAUCUGAUUUCAGCUGACAAAACUGUUUUCUGGCUAUGCAAACUUAUCUCUGGGCAAACUAACCAUGGAAAUACAAGAAUUUACUCGAUUCUUGGCAGAACAUGAAGCCUCGGUCUACCUCAUUAUACCUUCCAGUGGCUGCAGCUGUUUUUUUGCGCCUGUUCACUUUCUACAAGAGUUUCAAGUUGUGGACAGUCUUUCCGUAAGUUUUAAUUAAUAAUGAAGGGGUUUUGUUUUGGCAGAGUCAAUAGCAUAUUUUGAAUAUAUAUAUGCUUGCAAAAUACUAAUUUCAUUUAAAAAUAAUACUUUCUAUUCUUCCUAAGAUUUCCUAAAAUAUUCCUUCUAUAAAGGAGGGUAAAUAUUGAAAAAAGACUUGCACACAAAGACGUUUAGUAAUGUGAAAACAACAAAACAAGACAAAAUGUUGCAAAGUUGGCAAUAGAUUAAUCCACAGUAAAGGCAAUACAAAGAAUAAAAGGAAUAAAAUUGGAAGUGCUUAACUGAGU